rnacentral:rRNA from 1 species
AACGAACGCUGGCGGCAGGCCUAACACAUGCAAGUCGAGCGAUUAAAGCUCCUUCGGGAGUGUAUAAAGCGGCGAACGGGUGAGUAACAGGUGGAUAAUCUGCCUUCUGGUGGGGGAUAACGGUUGGAAACGGCCGCUAAUACCGCAUGUCAUUGUCGGUCCCUGGAUCGGCAAGAAAAGGCGCUUCACGGCGCCACCAGAAGAUGAGUCCGCCCCCCAUUAGCUAGUUGGUGAGAUAAAAGCUCACCAAGGCAACGAUGGGUAGCCGAGCUGAGAGGUUGAUCGGCCACACUGGAACUGAGACACGGUCCAGACACCUACGGGUGGCAG